AGAGUUUGAUCAUGGCUCAGAGCGAACGCUGGCGGCGUGCUUAACACAUGCAAGUCGAGUGCGUAGUUCGGUGUAGCAAUACAUCGGAUGGGCGCACGGCGCACGGGUGCGUAACACGUGGGUAACCUGCCCUUCGGUGGGGAAUAACUCCGCGAAAGCGGAGCUAAUUCCGCAUGACAUUCUGGGAACUUCGGAACCCGGACUCAAAGGCCGCAAGGCCGCCGGAGGAGGGGCCCGCGCCCGAUUAGCUAGUUGGUGAGGUAAUGGCCCACCAAGGCUAUGAUCGGUAGCCGGUCUGAGAGGAUGGCCGGCCACACUGGAACUGAGACACGGUCCAGACUCCUACGGGAGGCAGCAGUGGGGAAUCUUGCGCAAUGGGCGAAAGCCUGACGCAGCGACGCCGCGUGGGGGAUGAAGCUUCUCGGAGUGUAAACCCCUUUCGACCCGGAAGAAUGUCCCGCAAGGGAUUGACGGUACGGGUAUAAGAAGCCCCGGCUAACUACGUGCCAGCAGCCGCGGUAAGACGUAGGGGGCCAGCGUUGCUCGGAAUUACUGGGCGUAAAGGGUCUGUAGGCGGUGUGGCAAGUCGGGAGUGAAAUCUCUGGGCUUAACCCAGGGGCUGCUUCCGAAACUGCCGUGCUGGAGUGUGGGAGAGGCGAGUGGAAUUGCAGGUGUAGCGGUGAAAUGCGUAGAUAUCUGCAGGAACACCCGUGGCGAAAGGCGGCUCGCUGGACCACAACUGACGCUGAGAGACGAAAGCUAGGGGAGCAAACAGGAUUAGAUACCCUGGUAGUCCUAGCCCUAAACGAUCAGGACUUGGCGUGGCCCGCGUACGUGGGUCGUGCCGAAGCUAACGCGAUAAGUCCUGCGCCUGGGGAGUACGUCGCAAGACUGAAACUCAAAGGAAUUGACGGGGGCCCGCACAAGCGGUGGAACAUGUGGUUCAAUUCGACGCA
rnacentral:rRNA from 1 species